rnacentral:rRNA from 1 species
AUUGAACGCUGGCGGCAUGCCUUACACAUGCAAGUCGAACGGCAGCACGGGUGCUUGCACCUGGUGGCGAGUGGCGAACGGGUGAGUAAUACAUCGGAACAUGUCCUGUAGUGGGGGAUAGCCCGGCGAAAGCCGGAUUAAUACCGCAUACGAUCUACGGAUGAAAGCGGGGGGCCUUCGGGCCUCGCGCUAUAGGGUUGGCCGAUGGCUGAUUAGCUAGUUGGUGGGGUAAAGGCCUACCAAGGCGACGAUCAGUAGCUGGUCUGAGAGGACGACCAGCCACACGGGGACUGAGACACGGCCCAGACUCCUACGGGAGGCAGCAGUGGGGAAUUUUGGACAAUGGGCGAAAGCCUGAUCCAGCAAUGCCGCGUGUGUGAAGAAGGCCUUCGGGUUGUAAAGCACUUUUGUCCGGAAAGAAAUCCUUGGCCCUAAUACGGUCGGGGGAUGACGGUACCGGAAGAAUAAGCACCGGCUAACUACGUG